rnacentral:misc_RNA from 1 species
GAGAAUCUGCACAGCUCUGGCCAUCCUCAUUUCCAUCUUCAGACAUAGAGGUCAAGCUGGGAGGAUGGCUUGUGUUUUGGCAUGAAAAGCCAUCGGCAGUGUACUGAACAACAGACUUCGGGGAGUUUCUUUGGUGAUUGCCAUUUUGGAGUUGUGCCUCUAAAUUUUGAAGUUUACUAGCUGUCUUGGCACACAUACUCCUGGAAGUCUGCAACUCACUAUUACGCUUUGCCAAAGCCUCUUUGAGCAUCUUUGUUUCCUCCUCCAUCGCUAACAUUCGUUCUGUGAGGAACUCAUUCUCCUUUUG